AGGGAAUAUUAGAAAUGGACGCAAGUCUGAUCUAGCAACACCGCGUGUGCGAUGAAGGCCUUCGGGUUGUAAAGCACUUUUUGGAAGGAUUAGGAAGGAAUGUACUUCCAGAAUAAGUCUCGGCUAACUACGUGCCAGCAGCCGCGGUAACACGUAGGAGGCGAACGUUAUCCGGAUUUACUGGGCGUAAAGCGCGUGUAGGUGGUUCUGUAAGUAGGGCGUGAAAGCUCCUGGCUCAACUGGGAGAGGCCGUUCUAAACUGCAGAGCUAGAGGAUGGUAGAGGGAGGUGGAAUUCCGGGUGUAGCGGUGGAAUGCGCAGAUAUCCGGAGGAACACCAGUGGCGAAGGCGGCCUCCUGGACCAUUCCUGACACUCAGACGCGAAAGCUAGGGUAGCAAACGG
rnacentral:rRNA from 1 species